rnacentral:miRNA from 1 species
UAUACUUCCUCUGUUCCAGA